AAGCUUAGGAUAGACAAACCAAGGGCCUUCAAAGCCCUAAACAAGAGCAAUGACCUCUUAGCCUCUGCCU
rnacentral:tRNA from 1 species